rnacentral:rRNA from 1 species
GCAAGUCGAGCGGUAACACUUCGGGUGACGAGCGGCGAACGGGUGAGUAACACGUAAACAAUUUGCCCUUUAGUGGGGGACAACCAUUCUAACGGAUGGCUAAUACCGCAUAGGGUAUAAGAACCGCAUGGUUUUUAUACGAAAGGCUUCGGCCGCUGAAGGAUAGGUUUGCGUACUAUUAGCUUGUUGGUAAGGUAACGGCUUACCAAGGCAACGAUAGUUAGCCGGCCUGAGAGGGUGAAC